rnacentral:lncRNA from 1 species
UUUGGGGCUAACCUAACUUUGAGCACCAGGUAUGAAGCACUCCAUAGAGAAUGGAGAAGAUACUCUACUUUCUCCCUGACAACCCCUUACUAGGGCUUCUCCUAGAUUAGACCAAAUAGCCAGAUAAAUGGAUGGGGUUUGAUGUGUGGGUAAGCCCAGGAUUUGAACAUCACCUCCAUCUUUACCUUUAUCCCUUCUCUGAUGUCACUGUCCUCACCGAUCACUCCAGAUGGUUUCAAAGGAACCAUCUUUCUCUUCUGGUGGGCUUUGGGGUAUCCCCACCAACUUUGCCUCCAAAAUAGCACCUUAUACCCCAUCUUUGACUCAGUCCCCCACACCCAAAGAUCCCAGCCUAGGAAUGGGGUGCAGGGAUUUUAAAUAGUCCCUAAUCCCUAAUUUGCACUAGUUAACCCUGGUCAGGGGACCUAUGUUUCCUUCCAGUAGGGACUAUAGACAAAUGUUUGUUCUUAAUUCCCUUUGAAAAAUGGGGCCUCCCUGAUGUGUGAUUAGAUGGAUAUUUCCAAUAUACCCAUCUCCCCUCCCCCACAAAGAAAGAACCAGCUCACAAAGGGAGAGCCAGUUUGGGCAAGCAAAUUUGAUGUGGGAGUUAGAGGAGUAUGACUUCAAAAGGAGAAAGACUGUUUUAACCAAAUGACAGUCUUUCUCUCAGCUACUGUUUUCUGGGGCCAAGAUGGCUGCCCUCUGACCUGCUGUGGAGAGGGCAAGAUCAUGGCUUUUGGAGGGAGGUGAGUUUGGGAAGGCCAGGAGCAUCCUCCUGCCCCCUCCUAGCCUCCAAGUAUAUAGAAAGGGGGAGGUUUUUGACAGGCUUCCUGAAUGUUAACCACGGAGGGGGUCACUCCACCCCUCCUCUGUCUCUUUGCACUUUUCUUGGUCUUGGCUACAGCCUGAGUGAAGAAUUUCCUACUGAAUGUACCAAGUUCCAGUUUUUAAGGGUUUGGAAAAAGUUUCAAACAGGGAAAAAUGGAGAGAAAAAAAAAGAAAAAGAAAAAAAAUCACUAAAAACUCCCGUAAAUCUUGUUUCUGGCACUUUAGAAAAACUGCAAAAAAUACAUAAUAAAGAAUACAUAUAUAUAUAUCUACACACAAAUUAUAUAUAUAAAUAUAUCUAUAUAUACAGCGGAACCACAAGAGAGACUGAGGAAGGCCUGAAGGCAGGGGGCAGACAGGGGUCCCUCCUACCCUCCACUGCCCUCCUCUGAGGAAGUCAUGAGAGAAGGGGUAAAAAAUGGUCUGGGGAAUUUGAAUUUCAGAAUAGAUCAAAAUUCUACCUUUUGGAAGAAUUGAGAUUCUUAUGUGGGCUUUUUUUUGUUGUCGUUUUUUGUUUUUAAUAAGGGUAAAGAGAAUAGCUUCCAGAAUUUAGCAACAAAUAGUUGUGGCAAAGCAGAAACUUAAAAAUAUGUAUUUGAGAUGGAAGGUCUCGAUAUCAUGAGUUUCAGGUGUUGGAAGUUUGGGAUUUCGCAAUUUUGUCAUUUGAAGGUGAUCAAGUCUUGUCAGUUUGUGCCCUCUUUCCCCAUGUGACCUGGGAAGAAGGGAGAAAGUGGGAAGCCACUGGUUCUGUGCCACAGCACGCAAGAUUUAGAAUUUUACAGACUCUAGCUCUAUAUGUAGUGAGGACCCAGAUUUAGAGAAUCUGACCACUAUUUAUCUCCAGAUUUGUGUGUGUUUCCAAUUCUCUAGGCCAAUAAAUCAACAAGACAAAUGAACUAUGCUCACAGCGGGAUGCCAGAUGCGAUCAUUUGUGUGACUGGGGGUAGGGGGCAGGCAUUUGUUGUCUUUGCUUGGCAGGGAUCCUGAGACCUGUAGCCUACUCCUGACUCCAGGUGCUUCACUGUAGUUGUCUAGCCCCUAGGCUGCAGCUCACUUCUAUCUGACCUCUCUACACAGAGAUGCUAACUCUGGAGCUGGGGAUGUAGCUCAGUCGGUAGAGAGAGGGCUUGAGUAGAAUGCGGGUGUGUUUCUCAGCUCAACAAGAUGGCACACACCUAUAAAACAAGCGCUUGGGAGGUGAAGGUUAAGGGUCAUCUUCAGCUACACAUAGAGUUCCAUAGCCCCUUUCUCACAAGGUCCCUUCUUAAAAAUGCAGUGCUCCCCUGCCCCCACCUUUAGAAGCACCCUUAAGUGCUGUGUUCAAGAUUUCUAUGUCCCAGAAUAACCUUUGCCUUAAGCCAGGUGCAGAGAUUGCAUCAUUGCCAUAAGAGCUCCUUACUCCACUCCUGUCUCCUUGGCUUCAUCUUGCCUGCUGGGUCUCUUUAUGGAGGAAUAGCUGGGAGCACGAGUAAGGCUGGACAGGUAGAUGAGAUCUUGUCUGGUUUGAGUAUCCUGACCAGAGUGGGUUGCGACUCAUAAGCCCUGGCAAGUUGCUGUCAACAGCCGCAUCUGGUCUCUCGUCACUAUAGCUUUCUAAAUGUUUUCAAGAGAAGCCAAAAAACCCAAAUGUCUGUAAGGUACACAAACUUUAAAGGUACCAAGCUUCAACUACUUUUUUUCCUUUGAGUGUUUUGCUUGCAUGUAGGUCUGUGUACCACACAUAUACGGUGCCAGAGGAGGUCAGAAAGAGGGUAUUCGAUCCACUGGGGGCUGGAGUUGCACAUGUGGGUGAUAGGAAUCAAAUCCUGAAGAAGAGCAGCCAAUGUUCCUAACCUCGGAAUCAUCUCUCUCCAGUCCCUAAUCCACAUUUAAGAUAUCUUUAAUCCUAGCAUUCAUGAGGCAGAAGCAAGUGGAGUUUGAGGCCAACCUGGUCUACACAACAAGCUCCAGGCUAGCCAUGGUUACAGAGCGAGACCAUGUCUCGAGGCUGUGUACCGUAGUGAGUUAAAGGCCAGGUUGGACAACUUACUAAGACUCUGUUUCUAAAACAAAAACCAGGCUUGGUGAGAUGUGUCUAUAAUCCCAGUUCUUGAAAGAAGCAGAUGGAUCAGGAGUUUAAGUGGUUCUUAGCUCUGUAGUGAGUUCAGCCAACCUGGACUGUAUGAGACCCUGUCUCAAAACAAAACAAAAAUUAAAGCUGCACUAGUGGUGAAAAACUGUGACCCCAGCAUUUGAGAGGGUAAGGCAAAAGGGUUGCUGAGAGUUCAAGACCAGCCUGGACUAUAUCAAGACUGUCUUAAACAACAGUAACAAAACCAUGAAGUCAAAAAUGAAGGAAAAAUAAGGUCUGUUAAAUAGCUCAGAGGUAGAUGACUUGCCUACUGUUUGCAAUUCUGGGUUCAAUUCCAACUACUCUAAAAACAAACCAAUAAAUACUGUACAGCCCAAGGACAUAGGCAAAAAAU